rnacentral:lncRNA from 1 species
GGCACAGCCCAGGCUCAGGGGCCAACGCUGAGCUGCACACGGAGCUGGGGUGUGGUUACCCUGCUCAGAGCCUGGGAUCCCUCAGCUGCAGCGCAGGCUCAGGGACACCUGCCCUGACAGGGGUGUUGCAGAGAAUGACAUCCAUACAUGGCCUGGCACACAGUGAAUUAGCCCCUGGAGUUUCAUUUGUCAUCUAGUGUCAGUUGAACGUGCAACAUAGCAACCCUGCAUCUUAGCAAUCUGUCCUCAGGAAAUCAAUGACCAGCAAGCAACUCUGUACACUGAGGAUGCCCAUCUCACACGGAAUGUGAUGCAAAAACUUAUUUGGACACAACAGAAGUCUCACAUAACAGUGAUGACGAACAUCUUGUCCAUGGCCUAACUGGGAGUUCCCUCUGCAACCAUAGGUUAGCUUAGAAGACAAUAUUGCUUUGCUUUGUUUAAUUGCAUAACUCAUCCAAGUUCAUAGAAGAAUUGGAAACUGUAAACAAAGGAAAAUCUGCAUCUCCUGUUGUAACACACCACAGAUAAGCCUCAUGGAUCACCACUUUGGACGACAUAGUCUUGUCAAGUCUAUGAAAAAGGUCUGGGGUGACCAGGUGGGUUCAGAACGUGGAGGCCAGAGAGGAGUGAGAGGUGCUGUGGGGCCCCAGGUAGGGGUAACCCCUGCUGGCUUGAUGAAUGCACCCAUCCCCUUUCGACAGGCCUCACAGACACCAGGCCAGAUAAGCACAUCGCCCGUCCAGGCCAUUUUUCCCCCGCUAUCUCUUGCUGAGGCGAUGCUAACAUACCGCCAGCCCUCUGUGUGAUGGAUGGCCUUGGGAAGCCGGCUCACCCCCACCGAUUACACCAACCCUCGGAGGGGCUUCCCAGUGCCCGCCUGCUCAUUUUCAAGACUGGUUCCCUUGGGGGUAAAAAAUGAGCACCCCAGGGGUCCUUUCUGGGGCUUCACACACGUUCAUACACAUCUGUGCCCAUGUGCACACACAGGUGCAUUUGUGCCUUGACCCAGCCAACGUUUAAAGCUUGGAACUUGGCAAGUCUAGUCCCCAGGAAGUCGCCCAGGAUCACACGGCCAGACAUUUGCCUCUUACUAACACUGUGUUCAGUCUCUAUCGGGAUCCCCUCCAGUUCCAAAGCGGCUGAGACACCGACAAAGCUGUCUUGGAUGAGACCUGCCAACCGCCACCCCCUCGGCUCAUCUUGGUCCGAGUCAAGCACCAGACACCUCAGACCCCACUAUUUCCUGGGAAAUGUAGAGCAAUGGUUUCUCUCCUGCCAAAAUCCUCAAAGGCAGCCAGAAACAGUAGAGUGAUUAGGAAGCCUUACGCUGGACACACUUCCAAGCUGCAAGCUUCCUGUGAAGCAAAACAGAACAGACUUCAUAUGGUGGAGUCAACCAACAUGGGCGCGUCCCAGGGCCCAGCAGGAUAAACAUCGGGCUCUCUGAUCCCGACCUCCCGACAUACCCAUUUGUCCUGGCCGCUCCUCGGACACAUGAAUGCCUGUCUCAAACCCCACCCUUCACCGCCAGCCGUCUCCGGGGAAGUGACAAACACCGGAUAGAGCCAAUGGGCCCCCGGAGUCCGGAUGCCCACCAUCCGGGGCUGUUUAUAUUUGAGCCCAUCUUGGAAGAAAAAUGUGAGAACGCCUGUUCAGAACAUGGUGGCCAAGCCGGGUCCAUCCGGUGCCAGGGAGCCAAACACAAUGGGAAAGGAGGCGCGGACGCGGCGGAAGGAUAGGGCCGGGCAUGGCCCGCCGAGGGAGACCGCUGGGCCAGGUUGGGUCCUUCCCUGCGCCCUCCUUGUCCGUACGCUGUGAAGAGGCACCUGGGUUCUUCUUCCCUCCACCCGGGACUCUCUGAUCACUCAUACCUCCCUCUUGGCCCACCGAGUCGUGUGAGCCACAUCCUUCACUCUGCCCGUAAAACCACCAAGUUUUAGGCAGUGGACAGUCAAGACAGAGAGGCAAGAGUUUCUUGUGAGAGUUGUCAGUGAAAGCACUUUCUCGUAGCAGAGCCUUAUGUUAUUCCCAGCUGAAAUGCUGUUGCUCUUUCCAAGGAAGGAUAGGUUUGUUCUAGAGGAGAGGCAGAGGUGUGCUCUCCAGACCCCACUGCCAUGCUGGGCGCGCAAACAGCCCUCCUUCAGGAAGACACCAGCCUUAAGCAACCUGGAGUCCUGAGGCCUGUGGCUUCCUGGGAACCUACAACCGCAUCAGAUGUUGAGGCAGAGUUGCUGUUACCAGUUUCACAUCUUAGUAAGAGCCACCGUUUUUGACAUGUCAACAACCCUCCCAAAAAAGCACAAAUCAAUCAAUGUUUAUUAAAAGGCCACCUUGUGCAAAGGGCUGUUGGUUAAAACACACCAGUGCCUGAGAUACUCAGGGAAAGGCUGGUUGCCUUUGGGAAGCAGGAACCCUCAUCUUGGGUUGUCAGAAGAUUUGCUUUGGGGAGACCCUCAGUUCCUGUUUCUAGUAAGUUUCUGUCUUUUGAUUCAUGACGUGACUGCAGGCAAGUGCUCGGGGUUUUUCAACUGCAAAAUGGAGAUAACAAUGGUACCCACCUCUCUCGAGGGGUGGCUGUGAAAAUUAAAUGAGAUAAUGCAUGUAAAAUUAGGAUAACCGUGCUCUUAACCUCAAAAACCUGCAUUAGAACUUAUAUGGUUUGAACCGCGUCUAACCAAGACUCCAAUAAACAAAAGUCCAUUUCUCUCGCUCAUGGAAGCCCAAGCUCUGAUCUGCAAAGUCCACAGGGGCUCCAGCUCCCUCCGCCUUGCUAUGCGUGUUCCCCUGGGAGUGUGUCCUCAUCUGCAAGGCCCUGAGCAGCUCACUCUCACCCACAGUGCCCACCCCGGGGGUAGGAGGAUGAAGGGAUGCUGGGCAGAGUCACAUGGGCACACCCAGCUCUAAGGGAGGAUGGGAAAUGGAGUCUUUAUUUUGGGCAGUCAUUUCCUUUGCUUAAAAUUGGGAGGAUUACAACAUACAGGAAAUGAAAAUGGAUAAGGGUGUUAAUAGGCCGUCUCAGCCACCCCCUAGGAGGUAAGGAUUGUUAUCACAUGUUAUACAUGGCAACACUGAGGCUCAGAAAGGUGAAAGAAAUUGCUCCAAAGUACACAGCUUCUAAAAAACCCUCAGCCUUGCCCACUGGGCUGCACUACCUCCUAAGCAGUGGUGAGGAGGUGGUGCUUUCUCUGCGCUGACACGUGGAAUUACACAGAAGAACAGGGUGGUCACUGGGAGGCUGGGUGGGUGGUGGGCAGCAUAGGUGAGCUGACACCCAUUUGUCCUGGGGGCCUCCCAGGGAAGAGAGACCCCCAUUCCCAAGGCAGGGGCAGGUUCUCAGGAAUGCAGCUUCUCCAAGCAGGAGGCAGUCCGGACGCCUUUUCCACACUGCUCGUUUCUUCCACCGUCCUGAGGGCUUAGGAGAGCAGAAGGGAGUCUCUCCCAAGCGCCGGCUGGUGGGCGCAACUCCCCGGUGCUCCCUGCAGGGCAGCGCCCAGUGGGGUGGGGCCUUGGGAGGCUAACAGCUCCAGAGCCACGCUCUACACGUGAUGGGGGCUGGGAGGAAAGAAUACCAGGCUGGCAAAGGGGUCAAGGCAGAGGUGGGUGCCCCGUGGGGCAGACUCCCUGCUCCUGCUUAUGGCCCCAGACCCCUGCUGGGUGCUGGUCUUGCAUGUCACCCAGCACAGGGCCAGGCACUUCGCCCACAUGGAUGACCCACCACUACUGGCAGCAGCCCAAAGAGGUGGGUACUGCUACUAUUCCCACUGCCCAAUAAGGAUAUCAAGGCCUAGAGAUACGAAUUAACUAACUCAAGUGAUUCAGGGAGCCCAGAAGGGGCUUUGAACUCAAGUGGUUGGGCACUAUGACAUUAGCCUGGUCCCAUGAAUAAUCACCAUCUUUGCAGCCUAGGGAAAGUUCAAAGGCAAUGCCGCUCAAGGCCACCUCCCAACAAACGCCUCCACCAAGCAUCUUUUAUAUAGACAUUCUGGAGACACCCGUCAGACAGGUCUGGGGGUCAAAGAGAUUUCAAUUCGAAAAGAAUAUCUCAGGCUGGGCUCAGUGGCUUAGGCCUGCAAACCCAGCACUCUGGGAGGUCAGGCAGGCAGAUCACUUGGGCCCUCCUAGGAGUUCGAGAUCAGCCUGUGCAACACGGAGACCCCAUCCCUACAAAAAAUACAAAAAUUAGCUGGGUGUGGUGGUGCAUGCCUGUGGUCCCAGCUACUCGGGAGGCUGAGGUGGGAGGAUCACUUGAGCCUGGGAGGUAGAGGCUGCAAUGAGCUGAGAUCACACCACUGCACUCCAGCCUGGGUGACAGAGUGAGAAUAUGUUUCAGAGAAAAAAAUAGGAAUAUUUCUGCCCCAAGGGUAUUGGGCUCACACUGCCUGUGUGCAGAUUGUGAUUCUGCCUUCCUAGCUGUGUGUCCUUUAAGGAUCUUCUCCUCUCUGGCCUCAGUUUCCUCAUCCGUAGCAUGGGGAGGAGAGUGCUCCCUGCAGGGCUGUUGGGAGAAGGCCAUGAGGGCUGUUGGGAGAAGGCCACCUCUCAAACAGUGACAGGCGUUGGCAUUGCUGUCCUUUGUUGUAUUAUUUUUGAGAUAUUCUUUAUAUUUCAAAUUAGACCAUAAUUUUUAAAAAUUAAAUGCAGGACAAAAGAGACAGAGGAGAACCUGCAGAUAAAAAGGAUCUCAAACCAGAUUGUAGCCAACUACAAAAGAAACCUCAGUCAUCAUCAUGAGCCACACAGCCCCUUUGUGUACCUAUUGAUUAUACAACUACAUAAAUAUGUCACUAACAAAAAUAAAUGCAUGACUUUUUUUUUAAUUACUUAAACUUUAAACCAUGGUUCUUGUCCCCAGAGAAGCUGGUCUGGACACAAAUAAACCCAAUCUAAGGGAGGCAUGCUCAGGGCACUGAGGUCAGCCCCAGCUGCCAUGCAUGCAGGUGACAUGUGAGGUGCCAUUCUGGUGCCAAGAUUUCGUCAAAACAAAAUGGUGCAGAUCGCAGGAGGAUCAUCUCACUGGGGAGGAAGCCGAAGCUCAAGGAAGCCACUAGUCUCAGUUACGCCACUGGGCUGGCCAGUGCAGACUUGGGACUGCACUCCAAUUGUGUCUGGCUCCAGAGUCCCAAGACAGCAUGGCUGGGCUUAUGCCUGGCCCCCCACAAGCGGACCCAGAGACAAGGAUUUGAGGACGAGAGUUGAUUUGGGGGAUGACCAGAGCAGCAGUGAAGUGGAGAGGCAAGGUGGGGGAGGAGGGCCACGGCACAGGGGCCUCACAGUGCAGGGGCUGCAUGGCAAGUGGGCUUAGGCCCCCCCAGAGAGCUCUGGGAGUGGUGGAGAGCUCGCCCCCAAGGCAUCCUCCCAAUGCGGGAGAGAGCUGGGGUGCUGACCCACCAGCCCCCAUCUGUCACCAAUCCUGAGAGACUCCAAGGCCUUUGUUCCCUGCCCUUUCUGGCCCGCCCUGUAGGUGGACUGAGCAUGUUCCCAUGGUCAGAGAAAGUCUCCGGCAUGGAUUCUCACAUACGUUGGGGUGGGAAACCAUCAGCUUGUUCAGGAGCCUUGAAUGCUGAGAAAGUAUGGGCGGGGCUGCAAAUGCCUGACCCCCACAUGUGCCUGCACAGAAACCCUCCAUCCCUGCAAUAUGAUCCAGGGACCCACACUCACUGCUCUGUGUGGAUGGCUUACAUUCCGUUUCCGUUCCUUUCUCUUAUCUCUACUUAUAUAAAUAUCCUUUAUAACAAGAAAAGAGCAAUAAAAAUAAUUGUGAAUUUUUAAAAAGACACAAGAACUAUUCCCCAAACUGUUUCCCGAGAAGAGUCAGCAUUGCAUGGAGCAGGCGGGGAGUGGGAGGUGACUAGACAGCCCCUCAGCGUCUGGACAGAGCUUCCUUCUCACAGGGUCCCUGCCUCCUCCUUGGACACCUGUGGUCUGUCAGGUGACACAUCAUUCCUGUCCAUCAGCAGCCCCAGGCCAUCGCUGCCAGCUUUGAUAACCCAGUCAUGACAAGGCCCCUUUUGGAUAGAAAUUCCUCACUUCCCGGUGGUCAGGCUUGCACUGACCCCCAUGGUCAGUGUGGGAGCUGGCCGUUUUUAUUUUGGUGCAUACAAAUUAAUAUCAGCCCACUGCCUGUGGAGAGAACGCACCCGUGGUGCACGAGCAUCUGCAUGUCCCUCACUGUGUGGGCUUAGGGUCUCCACGGAAGCACCUGCUCCCCUCUCCUCCCAUCCUCCCAUUGCACCAUGGGACAUCAAGGGGCAGCAGCUCUUGACCCCUGCUGAUGCCCAGCCCUCCAAACGUCAGCUGUCCAUCCACGCCUCCUGCUGCAGAUUGCAUGCCACACUCACCAUCCCAGGGCAAAGUGCAGUGAAACAGCCCAUGCCCCACUUCUCUCUCUUUGAUAUUUUUUCCCUGCCAUCCUUUAAAAGCUUGACCUUCUCACUGUCUCCACCUUCAUCCCAUCAAAACCUGCUCCAAAAAAGAAUAUGUCAACAGUCAUCCUCACCGCAUGUGAAUCAGAUGGGUCACAGGAUGAUGGUUUGGGGGCAAAAGGGUCUUUACAAACUGCCAGGAGAUGUGCAGCAGCUUUUAUGAACGCUGAGCCUCUGCCUGCCCUGGGUCCCAGCAAUUGCAACUCUGGGUACACACGCAACAAAAAUGCUUACAGACAUUCACAAGAACCCAUAUGCAAGAAUGCUCAUCCCAGGCUGGGCGCGGUGGCUCAUGCCUGUAAUCCCAGAACUUUGGGAGGGCGAGGCAGGCGGAUCACAAGGUCAGGAGAUUGAGACCAUCCUGGCUAACAUGGUGAAACCCCGACUCUACUGGAAAAAAAAAAAAAAAAAAAAAAGUUAGCCAGGCGUGGUGGCGGGCACCUGUAUUCCCAGCUACUCAGGAGGCUGAGGCAGGAGAAUGGCAUGAACCCAGGAGGCGGAGCUUGCAGUGAGCUGAGAUUGUGCCACUGCACUCCAGCCUGGGCGACAGAGCAAGACUCCAUCUCAAAAAAAAAAAAAAAAAAAGAGUGCUCAUCCCAGAACAAUUCAUAAUCAUGAAGAACUGGAAGCCACCGAAAGCUCAUCACUGGGAAUGCAGAAUGGAUGGUGACAUGGGCUGCGUCCACAGCACAGAGUGCUCUGCCACAGAAAGAACGAAGCCUCAGGCCAGCCCGAACUAGCUCCAUGGAGAGGCCUGGGAUGCUGUCCAUUCAUUUGCCUUCAACAGAGAACCAAGGUCACCUCCUGAGCAGAGUAAAUUUAGAGCCACUUCUCAGAAUUCUGCAUCUCAGGGGGCAGAGGCUUGGCCUGAAACCCUGCAGAAGCCAGCCGUGCUGUGUGACCACGGGCAAGAGGCUUAAACCCUCUGUGCCUUUCCUUCCUCUCUGAAAAACGGAGAUAAUAAUGGCACCUGUCAUCAGUAUAAAUAAAAUAACAUAUACUCAUA